UUUAUUAAGGUAGACAUAACUCAAUAGGUAGAGUGGUUAUUUGUGGUGUAACUUGUUCUCGGUUCGAUCCCGAGUGUUUA
rnacentral:tRNA from 1 species